CCGAGGAGAGAAAGUCGCCGGCGUCUUGGGGGCUAAGAGGUGGCAGCCCCAUUUCCGGAGACGAAUUUAGACACCCAGUGUGACAGCUCCUGGGGACCCUGGAGGGCAGCUGAGUGAGCUGGUCCUUCUUCCUCAGGACAGGGUGAUGGAUGCAGGCGUGGCAGGUGGCUGCAUCCGCUUGGAGAAGAGAAUUUGUCUCGGUGGACGUGACACCGAGGAGAUGCUGGUCUGGGACGACGUGGGCACAGGAAACGUGACCCACGAGAUAGAGAGCCGCCCCCCAGCUGCGUGAGCACCUACCUCCUGCAUCGACCCUGUACUACCGAAGCCUGAGCAACUUUGAUCCCACACUGAGCCUGAGGCCGGCAGCAGCUGGACGGACGAGGACAUAUACUAUGGCUGCAAAUCUUCCGAUUUUGGGAAAGGCAGGCUCCUGAAUGUCUGAAGAUGUGACCUGAUGAGUUCUGGGUGACCGUGGGGAGCCCCUUCUCAGAGGCAGAUGAUCGGAGGUCUCCAGGAUGGUGAGCUCUGCAGCUGUCCAGAUGUUUGAGGGCGGAUUCCUGCCCAGGAACCAGAGACGGUCCCACGUCCGAGCCCAGACUCUCAGGGAGACCCAGGCCCUUGUCUUUAACCGGCUCCCAGGUGACCCGUGUGGGUCCCACAGCGAGAGAAGCAGCGUGCUGGUGGGAGCGGACUGUGG